UACGUAGGUGGCAAGCGUUAUCCGGAAUUAUUGGGCGUAAAGCGCGCGUAGGCGGUUUUUUAAGUCUGAUGUGAAAGCCCACGGCUCAACCGUGGAGGGUCAUUGGAAACUGGAAAACUUGAGUGCAGAAGAGGAAAGUGGAAUUCCAUGUGUAGCGGUGAAAUGCGCAGAGAUAUGGAGGAACACCAGUGGCGAAGGCGACUUUCUGGUCUGUNAACUGACGCUGAUGUGCGAAAGCGUGGGGAUCAAACAGGAUUAGAU
rnacentral:rRNA from 1 species